rnacentral:rRNA from 1 species
GACUCUCGGCAACGGAUAUCUCGGCUCACGCAUCGAUGAAGAACGUAGCAAAAUGCGAUACUUGGUGUGAAUUGCAGAAUCCCGUGAACCAUCGAGUUUUUGAACGCAAGUUGCGCCCGAAACCAUUUGGUCGAGGGCACGUCUGCCUGGGCGUCACGU